rnacentral:rRNA from 1 species
UCGAGGAUCUUCGUCAAUGGGCGCAAGCCUGAACGAGCGAUGCCGCGUGCGGGAUGAAGGCCCUCGGGUUGUAAACCGCUGUCGAGGGGGAGAAAGCCGCAAGGUUGAUCGACCCCUGGAGGAAGGACGGGCUAAGUUCGUGCCAGCAGCCGCGGUAAGACGAACCGUCCUAACGUUGUUCGGAAUCACUGGGCUUAAAGGGCGCGUAGGCGGCCCCGUCAGUCGGGGGUGAAAUCCCACGGCCCAACCGUGGAAGUGCCUCCGAUACUGCGGGGCUCGAGGGGGGUAGGGGCAGCGGGAACUUCCGGUGGAGCGGUGAAAUGCGUUGAUAUCGGAAGGAACGCCGGCGGCGAAAGCGCGCUGCUGGACCCUCUCUGACGCUGAGGCGCGAAAGCCAGGGGAGCAAACGG